rnacentral:tRNA from 1 species
GUAGAUGUGCUGGAAUUGGUAGACAGGUUCUGUUUAGGCCAGAAUGGUUUAAGUACUGUGCAAGUUCAAGUCUUGCCGUCUAUA